CUCGUAGGCGGACUGGUAAGUCUGAUGUGAAAUCUCCAUCGCUCAACGAGGAGAGGUCAUUGGAAACUGCCAGUCCGGAGUACGGUAGAGGACCAUGGAAUUCCAGGUGUAGCGGUGGAAUGCGUAGAUAUCUGGAAGAACACCGGUGGCGAAGGCGGUGGUCUGGGCCGUUACUGACGCUGAGGAAGCGAAAGCCAGGGGACGCGAACG
rnacentral:rRNA from 1 species